CCUUAUCAAGAGCGGCUGAGGGAACAGGCCCUGUGAAGCCCGGCAACCUAGAUGCUUUGCCUUUGCGGAUUGGUGCGUGCGUACGAAUGUGCGAAAAUGCGCCGGAUGUGCAGGCGGCGGAGCAAAAAAGGUGCUAAAUCCUACAGAGAUUUUUCUCAAGAAAUUUUUCUGAAAGAUGAGG
rnacentral:ncRNA from 1 species